rnacentral:rRNA from 2 species
CAGUCGAGCGGAUGAAGAGAGCUUGCUCUCUGGAUUCAGCGGCGGACGGGUGAGUAACACGUGGGCAACCUGCCUGUAAGACUGGGAUAACUCCGGGAAACCGGGGCUAAUACCGGAUAACUUCUUUUCCCGCAUGGGGAGAGGUUGAAAGACGGUUAUGCUGUCACUUACAGAUGGGCCCGCGGCGCAUUAGCUAGUUGGUGGGGUAACGGCCUACCAAGGCGACGAUGCGUAGCCGACCUGAGAGGGUGAUCGGCCACACUGGGACUGAGACACGGCCCAGACUCCUACGGGAGGCAGCAGUAGGGAAUCUUCCGCAAUGGACGAAAGUCUGACGGAGCAACGCCGCGUGAGUGACGAAGGCCUUCGGGUCGUAAAACUCUGUUAUCAGGGAAGAACAAGCAUCGUUUAACUGACGGUGCCAUGACGGUACCUGACCAGAAAGCCACGGCUAACUACGUGCCAGCAGCCGCGGUAAUACGUAGGUGGCAAGCGUUGUCCGGAAUUAUUGGGCGUAAAGCGCGCGCAGGCGGCUUCUUAAGUCUGAUGUGAAAGCCCACGGCUCAACCGUGGAGGGUCAUUGGAAACUGGGAGGCUUGAGUGCAGAAGAGGAGAGCGGAAUUCCACGUGUAGCGGUGAAAUGCGUAGAGAUGUGGAGGAACACCAGUGGCGAAAGCGGCUCUCUGGUCUGUAACUGACGCUGAGGCGCGAAAGCGUGGGUAGCGAACAGGAUUAGAUACCCUGGUAGUCCACGCCGUAAACGAUGAGUGCUAAGUGUUAGUGGGGUUUCCACCCCUUAG